AUAAUAGUCUAAUUUACAACACACUUAGGCUGUAUAUGGUUGUACUCUAAGCUUAAAGUGUGCUCUCUGCAGUUUUGGUGUUGUAUCAUAUGUUCAUUUGGUUGUAACCUUAUCCAUUUACAUACCCAUUUAUUCCUAGCCAAACACACACAUGUAGAGAGAGAAAAUGGCAGAAACCGAGAGGCAGCGUGGCCAUCCCACCUUCUGCGGUGGCGGCGCCACGGCGGAGCGGUAGUGGAGUCACGGCGUAGAUAUGGUGGAGUCAUGACGGAGCUGUUGCGGCGCCCCCUCAUUUGAUUUGAUUACUGGUGAAGCUCAGGCGACUUCUCCGGUCACCGAUCUGGGUCUGUAUGUAAAUACAUCUUACAGUCGAUUACUGUGUGAUUGUUAGUGCCUGACUUCUCUAUUUUUUUUCUAUGGCAACCCUUUUGUUCGAUUAGGGUUUCACGAAAGGGCUGUGAUGAGUUUGAGGGUCUGACAAAAGGUUACUGAAGAUCCCACCUUGGUAUGGCAGGGUUGCAGGAUGGUAGGUGAACACCUGCAACCUCCCCUGCAGCCAUGGUGGUUUCCCUAUUUCGCAAACUCUGAGGCUAACUGUACGAGAUUAGGGAUGAAUCAAAGUUGUUAUUUCUUAUGCAGACUCUGUUCUCGAUGAUUACACUGUUUUUGUUUUAAACCCUAAUUUUAGGGGUUGCGAGAACUGAUUGUUGCUAGAGACCGUUUUGCAGCGUUUUUUAGUUGAUUUGAGGCCUGGGAAUUGUGCCAAUGAAUGCCAUGAGGUAUCCGAGAUUCAAAGGCUAUGAUGAGAAAUCUGAGCCACCUUAUUGUGAAAAUUUAAGACUUGGCACAUACUGUGUUAAUUUUGAAAUUGUUUGGUGCUGAGAUAUUUCUAUUAUAUGGCCGUUGCCGGAGAUUUAGGGGCUGUGAUUUCAGUUAGAGGAUACAUAUAAUAUUCAGUUUUACUGGCCGUAGCCACUACUUAUAGUGUUAGUCAUGAUAUUGUCAAAAAAAAAAAAACACACUUAAACAUUGUCAAAAAAUGAUAUUUGUUUUUCGUGCAUAUUUAAGGUGUACAUUUGGUUAUGUUAGUUGUAUACUUUUGCAAGCUCUAUGUUCCAUAUGGGUUUUAGAGACGACGGUGGAACGACCAUCGUUUACGGUGAUGUACCCGAAGGCGAACAACGUCGCUUCUCACUUCUGAUGCGUACAUGACCGCCACAAAAAAAUCAGCGACGAGGAGUGUAUUCCGGUGAAGUCUGACGUGUUUCCGUCUGGCUAUUUAGGUUUCUUGUGGUGUUUGGGUUGUAAGCUUCCAAAAGAAGCUUUAUAUUCCCGGAGAGGGUUUAUACCUGUACGUCUCACCCACACCCACACACAUGAUUUUUUAGUUGCAUUUUUUCAAUUUUGUUCUUAUCUCUAUGUUCGCCAAUAUAUCUCUUAUCGGGUCGACCCGGUUUAUUAUGUUUGUAUCCAAAACCGUGUUCUGUGGGUACGCGUGUGUAGAAUUACUACUCUAUGUUAACAAAAGAUAGGAUUGUAUAGGUUUUGGUGUAGUGGAAAGGAAUAACUUGGAUAUCUCAGGUAAUAUAUUUGCAAUUGUUGUCUUCAUCAUAUUUUUGGUUUUUUGUUUUGCAGUGAAACUAUAUUUGUUUUUUGGUUUUCAUGGUAGGGUUAUGGUUUAGUCAUGCAUGAUAACAUCUUUGUUGCAGCCUUUUUCUACAAUCGUGGUUGCUACAACUGAAGGUGGAUGUAUGAGUUGGAUCUGUUGCAAAGGUUUGCUAAUCUCCUUCAAGAGGCUAUAGAGUCGGACCGUAUAAUUAAUAACAACCUUAAUGAGCUAACCAAACUGGUUAGUAGCAUCUGCCAAAAACAAGCCGCAUUACAAGUUGAAGUAGACGUGCUUAUAGCACACUUUUCUAGGGAAAACGAUGUUAAUGAAGAAAAAAACUAUAUGUCGUUAGUAGGUUAAAUAGUUGGUUGUUAAUUUUGGUUACCAAAUGUAAACAAUAAACAAUUGUACAUAUAUUUCGGUAUUUAUCGUAAUCUAAGUUUGUAAACAAAA